UUUGUACUCCCUCGGCCCGAAAAUACUUGUCGGAGUAAUGGAUGUAUCUAGACGUAUUUUAGUUCUACAUACAUUCAUUUUUAUUCAUUUUUACGACAAGUAAUUUCGGACGGAGGGAGUACAUG
rfam:Triticum aestivum genome assembly, contig: Triticum_aestivum_CS42_TGACv1_scaffold_342802_4DL